CUUGGUCAUUUAGAGGAAGUAAAAGUCGUAACAAGGUUUCCGUAGGUGAACCUGCGGAAGGAUCAUUAACAAAUCAUUUGUGUUCGGUGGUGUAAAAGCCGCUGAUACAUUAGCGCUCUGCCGCAAGGGAGUUUUCUUCCUUGGGCAUUGUGUAUGUCAUGAUGUGCGCAAGUACAGAUUGACAAAAUAGACGCUUGUAUUGUUUGACUGAUUACGAGAGAAAACUAAAUUAAAAGACAACUUUUAACAAUGGAUCUCUUGGCUCUUGCAACGAUGAAGAACGCAGCGAAAUGCGAAACGUAAUGCGAUUUGCAUGAAUCUGUGAGUCAUCAAGUCUUUGAACGCACCUUGCACCGAGUGAGCAAUCGCUCGGUAUACCUGUUUGAGAAUCGUAACCUUCUUUCAACCCGGUAAAACGGGAUGGAGACAUGUCGGCUGUAAAAGUCUUGGCUUUUACUCUGAUUAAAUGUAGUAGGGUUGUAUCAGGCUGGUGGCCUGGGACACUGUGUGCUAGAGACACAUCCGGCGGAAACGUUGGAGGAGUCUUCUCACAGUGCGUCCCAAGUCAUUCCAAAGCUGGCCUGAUUACGCACUCCUGUAAUGGUGCGGUCCUUGAGAUCGUACAUAUUCUCUCUUUGAUCUCAAAUCACGUAAGGCUACCCGCUGAACUUAAGCAUAUCAAUAAGCGGAGGA
rnacentral:rRNA from 1 species